rnacentral:tRNA from 1 species
UCCCUGGAGGACUAGUGGUUAGGCCACAGUGCUCUCAUCGCUGCGUCCCGGGUUCGAUUUCUGGCCAGGGAA